rnacentral:tRNA from 1 species
GGAGCUGUAGCUUAGUGGUAGACUGCUUGCCUAGCAGCAUGAGGCCCUGGGUUCAAGCCUCAGCACCA